rnacentral:rRNA from 1 species
AGAGUUUGAUCCUGGCUCAGGACGAACGCUGGCGGCACGCUUAACACAUGCAAGUCGAACGAGAGAAGAGGAGCUUGCUUUUCUGAUCUAGUGGCGGACGGGUGAGUAACACGUGAGCAAUCUGCCUUUCAGAGGGGGAUACCGAUUGGAAACGAUCGUUAAUACCGCAUAACAUAAUUGAACCGCAUGAUUUGAUUAUCAAAGAUUUAUCGCUGAAAGAUGAGCUCGCGUCUGAUUAGCUAGUUGGUAAGGUAACGGCUUACCAAGGCGACGAUCAGUAGCCGGACUGAGAGGUUGAUCGGCCACAUUGGGACUGAGACACGGCCCAGACUCCUACGGGAGGCAGCAGUGGGGAAUAUUGCACAAUGGAGGAAACUCUGAUGCAGCGAUGCCGCGUGAGGGAAGAAGGUUUUAGGAUUGUAAACCUCUGUCUUCAGGGACGAAAAAAGACGGUACCUGAGGAGGAAGCUCCGGCUAACUACGUGCCAGCAGCCGCGGUAAUACGUAGGGAGCGAGCGUUGUCCGGAAUUACUGGGUGUAAAGGGAGCGUAGGCGGGAUCGCAAGUCAGAUGUGAAAACUAUGGGCUUAACCCAUAAACUGCAUUUGAAACUGUGGUUCUUGAGUGAAGUAGAGGUAAGCGGAAUUCCUAGUGUAGCGGUGAAAUGCGUAGAUAUUAGGAGGAACAUCAGUGGCGAAGGCGGCUUACUGGGCUUUAACUGACGCUGAGGCUCGAAAGCGUGGGGAGCAAACAGGAUUAGAUACCCUGGUAGUCCACGCCGUAAACGAUGAUUACUAGGUGUGGGGGGACUGACCCCUUCCGUGCCGCAGCAAACGCAAUAAGUAAUCCACCUGGGGAGUACGACCGCAAGGUUGAAACUCAAAGGAAUUGACGGGGCCCGCACAAGCAGUGGAGUAUGUGGAUUAAUUCGAAGCAACGCGAAGAACCUUACCAGGUCUUGACAUCGUAUGCAUAGCUCAGAGAUGAGUGAAAUCUCUUCGGAGACAUAUAGACAGGUGGUGCAUGGUUGUCGUCAGCUCGUGUCGUGAGAUGUUGGGUUAAGUCCCGCAACGAGCGCAACCCUUACUGUUAGUUGCUACGCAAGAGCACUCUAGCAGGACUGCCGUUGACAAAACGGAGGAAGGUGGGGAUGACGUCAAAUCAUCAUGCCCCUUAUGACCUGGGCCUCACACGUACUACAAUGGCUGUCAACAGAGGGAAGCAAAGCCGCGAGGUGGAGCGAACCCCUAAAAGCAGUCUUAGUUCGGAUUGUAGGCUGCAACCCGCCUACAUGAAGUCGGAAUUGCUAGUAAUCGCAGAUCAGCAUGCCGCGGUGAAUACGUUCCCGGGCCUUGUACACACCGCCCGUCACGCCAUGGGAGUCGGUAACACCCGAAGCCUGUAGUCUAACCGCAAGGAGGACGCAGUCGAAGGUGGGAUUGAUGACUGGGGUGAAGUCGGAACAAGGUA